rnacentral:lncRNA from 1 species
GUAUCGUCGUCCUUCGGUUCAACUUUUUCGAGAGAUGGAGGUUCCUCGGGUUGGGGUUUCUCCAUAUUGUCUUUGUCAAAGGAAUUGAUUUGUAGGUCUCCCUCUGCUUGGUUUUUCUCCAAGUUUUCAUUACCUAAGGUUCCCUCUGGUUGGAUUUUCUCCAAGUUUUCAUUAUCUAAGGUUUCCAUUUGUAGAUCUCCCUCAGGUUGAGUUUUGUCCAAGUUGUCAUUAUCAAAGGUUUUGAUUUGUAGAUCUCCCUGGUGUUCGGUUGGGUGCAAGUUGUCGUUAUCAAAGGUUUCGAUUAAUAGUUUGGGCAGUGGCUCAAGCUGCUGGUACUUGGGCUUGUUUUUUUCUAGGAGAAGGUAUGUGGUAUAAUACCAGAACAUAAGUAUCCU